CCUGUGUUUUGUUUGAUUCAUGC
rnacentral:siRNA from 1 species